GACGAACGCUGGCGGCGUGCCUAAUACAUGCAAGUUGAGCGAUGAAGAUUGGUGCUUGCACCAAUUUGAAGAGCAGCGAACGGGUGAGUAACGCGUGGGGAAUCUGCCUUUGAGCGGGGGACAACAUUUGGAAACGAAUGCUAAUACCGCAUAACAACUUUAAACAUAAGUUUUAAGUUUGAAAGAUGCAAUUGCAUCACUCAAAGAUGAUCCCGCGUUGUAUUAGCUAGUUGGUGAGGUAAAGGCUCACCAAGGCGAUGAUACAUAGCCGACCUGAGAGGGUGAUCGGCCACCUUGGGAAUUAGAAACGGCCCAAACUCCUACGGGAGGCAGCAGUAGGGAAUCUUCGGCAAUGGACGAAAGUCUGACCGAGCAACGCCGCGUGAGUGAAGAAGGUUUUCGGAUCGUAAAACUCUGUUGGUAGAGAAGAACGUUGGUGAGAGUGGAAAGCUCAUCAAGUGACGGUAACUACCCAGAAAGGGACGGCUAACUACGUG
rnacentral:rRNA from 1 species